rnacentral:rRNA from 1 species
GAUGAACGCUGGCGGCGUGCCUAAUACAUGCAAGUCGAGCGGAGCGGGGACGGGUGAGUAACACGUGGAUAACCUCCUAUAAGACGGGGAUAACUUCGGGAAACCGGAACUAAACCGGAUACUGAUCGAUGAAUCCGAUGUGCAUUAGCUAGUUGGUAAGGUAACGGCUUACCAAGUCAACGAUGCAUAGCCGACCUGAGAGGUGUAGCGGCCACACUGGAACGGAGACACGGUCCAGACUCCUACGGGAGGCAGCAGUAGGGAAUCUUCCGCAAUGGGCGAAAGCCUGAUGGAGCAACGCCGCGUGAGUGAUGAAGGUCUUCGGAUUGUAAAUCUCUGUGAUUAGGGAAGCGGUACCUAAUCAGAAAGCCACGGCUAACUCCGUGCCAGCAGCCGCGGUAAUUC